GUGAGAAUCCCGUAUGUGACCGGCGACCAAGCCCAUGUGAAACUCCUUCGACGAGUCGAGUUGUUUGGGAAUGCAGCUCAAAAUGGGUGGUAUAUUUCAUCUAAAGCUAAAUACCGGCCAGAGACCGAUAGCGCACAAGUAGAGUGAUCGAAAGAUGAAAAGCACUUUGGAAAGAGAGUCAAAAAGUACGUGAAAUUGUUGAAAGGGAAGCGCUCGCAACCAGACCUGCCCGCGGCCGAUCAACCGUCCUUCUGGGCGGUGCACUCGGUCGCGAUCAGGCCAGCAUCGGUUCGGGCGGCCGGAUAAAGGCCCGGGGAACGUAGCUCCUUUCGGGGAGUGUUAUAGCCCUGGGUGCAAUGCGGCCAACCUGGACCGAGGACCGCGCUUCGGCUAGGAUGCUGGCGUAAUGGUUGUGAGCGGCCCGUCUUGAAACACGGACCAAGGAGUCUAACAUCUAUGCGAGUGUUUGGGUGUCAAACCCAUGCGCGUAAUGAAAGUGAACGGAGGUGGGAACCCAUUCCGGGCGCACCAUCGACCGAUCCAGAUGUCUUCGGAUGGAUUUGAGUACGAGCAUAGCUGUUGGGACCCGAAAGAUGGUGAACUAUGCCUGAAUAGGGUGAAGCCAGAGGAAACUCUGGUGGAGGCUCGCAGCGGUUCUGACGUGCAAAUCGAUCGUCGAAUUUGGGUAUAGGGGCGAAAGUACGUAUUCAACCUCGUCAAUUCAUCGGAAUAAUCAAAUGCUAAUAUCUUUUCUAGGACUAAUCGAACCAUU
rnacentral:rRNA from 1 species